UACGGGGGGAGCAAGCGUUGUCCGGAAUUAUUGGGCGUAAAGGGCUCGUAGGCGGUUUGUCGCGUCGGGGGUGAAAACUCAGGGCUCAACCCUGAGCGUGCUUCCGAUACGGGCAGACUAGAGGUAUGCAGGGGAGAACGGAAUUCCUGGUGUAGCGGUGGAAUGCGCAGAUAUCAGGAGGAACACCGGUGGCGAAGGCGGCGACCUGGGCCAAUAUUGACGCUGAGGUGCGAAAGCGUGGGGAGCAAACAGG
rnacentral:rRNA from 1 species